AUGCAGGCUAGGGUUGCUCAUCUUGCCGCUGGCUUGGCGGGCGCUAGCACUGCGAUCGACCGCGGGAUCUCUAGGCUCCCUUCCCUGGCCAAAUCCGUGCCGAUCGGGAGGCGUCGGGAGAAUGCAGGGAAGAUUUCGGCCAUGGCGGACAAGGCCGGAGAAGCAACGGAUCGGAGCGUCACUCAUCCUGUCUCGUUCUCAAGAGGGUGAAACGUUUAACUUCCAUAGCCCGCCAAUACAGCACUUCUGUGCAAACUAUCGCUCUAGCAAAUAAGAUUGACGACAUUGAUUUGCUACAGAUAACGGCACUAGCGAGCUGAGCAAGGCGCUAGGGCGAGCAGAGACCGGCCCAGUCAGCUCGUUUAAGCUCGCAGGUUUUCUGUGAGAUUUCUUUGUUCUGCUGCUUCUCACCUUGGAAACGCUUUGGUGCCCUGGGUGUUUUGCACUGCGAUCUUGACGCAGAUCAGUACGAGACCGACUCAAAGCUACAGGAGAUACGAAAGAAGCGAGGAUACUCCAGGAUAUCAUCACCGUGAGUCCGGAGAAGCUGCCAAACUGCGAGCACAAGAUCAGAGCUUCUUCGAGGAGCACAUCCAUCUGGACGAGGAGAUCCGCUACUGCCUCGAUGGAAGCGGCUACUUCGAUGUGAGAGACUUGGGCGAAGAAGGGAGACAUGAUCGUACUUCCUGCUGGAAGCUACCCUCGCUUCACUCUGGAUAACAACAAUUACGUCAAGUUUGGACGCCUUACAACAGGCCACAGGACGAGCACCGCGUCAGGUAACAUAUUCGUAUCAUACUCCGUAUCUCAAGGCCGUUUGCUGGUGCCAGGAAACAAUACAUCAGCUUGUAUGCACCUAAAUGAAGCAUUGACUACUUGGCUUUGUAUUGAUUAUUAAAUAGUAAUUAUAAUAAAGAUAUAUGUAUUGUCCUGA